GGUGCUCUGAAUUUCACGUUCAAUAAAACCCCCAAAGCUUGCAUCACCCUCUGAUCUUUCAAGUAAAUAUUCAAAUUGUUAGGAUUCUUCUGAAUCUCCUGCAUCAUCUUGACAAAAUCCGGUUGCUGAAGAUACAUCCUUGUAGUUGGAUCCGCUGUCAAUUUCGCCCACAUCUCCGGCCCAGAGAACGCAUCCCCAAAGGGAUUGGGCGGCGGCGGGGAUCGCGACCUGGAAGCAGCUGCCUGAGCAUCAGCCAAACCGGACUUCAACGCUUCAUUGUUGGGAUCAAUCUCCAGCCCCUUCUUAUAAGCUGCGAUAGCAUCCUGAAUUUGGUUUAAUCC
rnacentral:misc_RNA from 1 species